CCGAAAGGAACGCUAAUACCGCGUACGUCCUACCGAAGAAAGCAGGGGACCUUCGGGCCUUGCUCUAUCUGAUGAACCUACGUCGGAUUAACUAGUUGGUGAGGUAAUGGCUCACCAAGGCGACGAUCCAUACCUGGUUUGACAGGAUGAUCAAUCACACUGGAACUGAGACACGGUCCAGACUCCUACGGGAGGCAGCAGUGGGGAAUAUUGGACAAUGGGCGAAAGCCUGAUCCAGCCAUGCCGCGUGUGUGAAGAAGGUCUUCGGAUUGUAAAGCACUUUCAUUUAGGAGGAAGGGCGGUAUGUUAAUAUCCUGCGGUUUUGACGUUACUCACACAAUAAGCACCGGCUAACUUCGUGCCAGCAGCCGCGGUAAUACGAAGGGUGCAAGCGUUAAUCGGAAUUACUGGGCGUAAAGCGCGCGUACGUGGUUCGUUA
rnacentral:rRNA from 1 species